rnacentral:pre_miRNA from 1 species
CAAAUACUCCCUCUGUCCGGAAAUACUUGUCAUCAAAAUGGAUAAAAGGAAAUGUAUCUAGACGUAUUUUAGUUUUAGAUACAUCUAUUUUUAUCCAUUUUGAUGACAAGUAUUUUUGGACGGAGGGAGUAGAAA